GGGACGAGCGUGGUCUACCUUUUUGUGCUGGCCCCAUUUUCGAUUUUGUAACCUAUCUAUCAUAAAUAAUUUUGUACCUUGCAGGCCUUCCUGCUAGGGUUUUGCACAGGGCAGAGACUUCCAUCCCAAUUCGUAAACUAAGGUCGGCAAAGGGUCCUGCUUUCAUUGUAGAGAGAAUAGAGCUGCUGGAUCUUGGAGUUGACCAGAGUUUUAAUGUUCCAACGAUCUCAUCUGGUUGGCUAGCUGGUUCUGGUUGGGGGUAACAUCUAACAAGUCUACAUGUAGACUCACAUCUUGGUUAGAUGAGGUGUUGCUUGCCCUCGACUCUGAGAUCAUUGCCUUCUUCGUGCGAACAAGUUAUUUUAAACUAAAGACUCCCAAUGUGCCUCAAAGUUGAAAUCUCUUUCGAAUUGUCAAUGUUGAUAAGCCAAAAGUGUGUAUAUGUCUGUGCUGCUAAAGUCUCAUGCUGUCCCAUGUUACUCUUCUGGCAGAAGACGAGUGCCAAUGACGUAAAAGAAACCUCACCGAUGCCCUGGCUCCUUUAUUGGUCCUGGAACUCAUUUUGAGUGAACAAUUCAGCUAAACAGAAGGAUGAAGAAUGAUGUUGCUCUGAACACAAGGAACCGCCCUCGAUGAUGAUCUGCAUGCAGUACUGAAAAUGGUACCAAUAAAGUAUGCUGUGUAGGACCUUUGAAUCUCUGAAACAGACUACAAAGAAAAAGAUCUUUUACAAGUAGCAUUUAGAUGGCACAAACAAUGGUGAUGCUUCUCAUCAAGAAAGGAAAAGGGGCUAACCAUACAAUGAUGAGCAACAUCAGGAUGGCAAAGUGAAGGGAGCAGCUGUUGGAACAUUGAACAAAGUUUACUCUGGAACAUGAAACUGCUAUAAUAGUAUGGAAGCGGUAGCUGUCGGCGAGGGCUCUACCAUGUUUCAUGCUCAAAGCACUUUUCAUUCAUUGUCCCAUUUUUUCCCCUUAUCCGUUUCCUUUUUCUCCCGUGGUUGAUCUUGAAUCAUGUUGAUGCAUUGAGGUGGAUGAGGUGCGUGGAGCAAAGGCAUCGGUUGUUGCAUUUGCAGACGAACUUUAAGAAAAUUAUUGAGAGUCCAUGGAUAUGGAGCAUUUUACCAAAAGGUCUCGUUCCUUUUGCGUAGUUAAAUUAAUAUUUAAUUUCAAAUGUUGGGUCCGUUUCUGAGCCCAUGGAUCCACUGAGCUAAGCCCAUGGGCUCGGCACAGUAGACUAGUCUUUCGUUAGCAAACAGUGAGAAAGUAGCUUAUCU